rnacentral:rRNA from 1 species
GACGAACGCUGGCGGCGUGCUUAACACAUGCAAGUCGAACGGAAAGGCCCAGCUUGCUGGGUACUCGAGUGGCGAACGGGUGAGUAACACGUGGGUGAUCUGCCCCCAAACUUCGGGAUAAGCCUGGGAAACUGGGUCUAAUACCGGAUAUGACCUGCUCCUGCAUGGGGGUUGGUGGAAAGCUUUUGCGGUUUGGGAUGGGCCCGCGGCCUAUCAGCUUGUUGGUGGGGUAAUGGCCUACCAAGGCGACGACGGGUAGCCGACCUGAGAGGGUGAUCGGCCACACUGGGACUGAGACACGGCCCAGACUCCUACGGGAGGCAGCAGUGGGGAAUAUUGCACAAUGGGCGCAAGCCUGAUGCAGCGACGCCGCGUGAGGGAUGACGGCCUUCGGGUUGGUUAAACCGUAC